rnacentral:rRNA from 1 species
AGAGUUUGAUCCUGGCUCAGGAUGAACGCUGGCGGCGUGUCUAAGGCAUGCAAGUCGAACGAGACCCCUUUUGUAGCAAUACGGAAGAAGGUCUAGUGGCAAACGGGAGAGGAACGCAUUGGUAAUCUGCCUUCGAGACGGGCAUAACUUCGGGAAACCGAAGCUAAUACCACGAUGGUCAUGGGGGGACGCAAGUCAUUCCCAUGUAAACGGGCAGCGCAAGCUGUUUCGCUCGAAGAGGAACCUAUGUCCUAUCAGCUUGUUGGUGAGGUAAAAGCUCACCAAGGCAACGACGGGUAUGGGGUGUGAGAGCACGACCCCACUCACUGGGACUGAGACACUGCCCAGACACCUACGGGUGGCUGCAGUCAAGAAUCUUCCCCAAUGGACGAAAGUCUGAGGGAGCGACGCCGCGUGCAGGAUGACGGCCUUCGGGUUGUAAACUGCUUUUAUCAGGGACGAACGAUGACGGUACCUGAAGAAUAAGAGGUUGCUAACUCUGUGCCAGCAGCAGCGGUAAUACAGAGACCUCAAGCGUUAUCCGGAUUUAUUGGGCGUAAAGGGUCCGCAGGCGGCUUUGCGCGUCGACGGUUAAAUCUAAAGGCUCAACCUUUAGACCGCCGUUGAUACGGCA